UACAGAGGUCUCAAGCGUUGUUCGGAUUCAUUGGGCGUAAAGCGUGCGUAGGUGGCGAGGCAAGUCUGGUGUGAAAUCCCGGGGCUCAACCCCGGAACUGCACUGGAUACUACUUUGCUAGAGUACUGGAGAGGAGAUUGGAAUUUACGGUGUAGCAGUGAAAUGCGUAGAUAUCGUAAGGAAGACCAGUGGCGAAGGCGAAUCUCUGGACAGUUACUGACACUGAGGCACGAAGGCCAGGGGAGCAAACGGG
rnacentral:rRNA from 1 species